UGUCUAGCACCUGCCUCCCCUGGGUGAGCUCACAGCUCUUAAUGACACCCUUCCAGCCCAGUCUGGCCCACCUUCUUCGGAACCCUGGUGUACGGUGGAGUAUCCCAGGAGUUAUGACGUGUGAUGACAUUCUGUAAUGAAAUGUGUCAACAUUCAUUUGAACCAAUAUUUUCCAAAUGACCAACGCAUGAUGUUACAAAAUCAUGCCUAAAUGAAAGAACCGUUCAGAGUGCAAGAGACUUCAAGAACUACACAUCUCUGUGAGGCUGGAUUUUCUUCACAUACGUUAGUGAAAGCGACAUAACAACUCAUCAAAUGAGAAGCAGAUAUGAGAAUCCAGCUGAUUCUUUUAAGGGAGAUAAUAAAGAAGUUUGUAAAAAAUGUAAAACAAUGUCACU